rnacentral:lncRNA from 1 species
CACCUCCUCUUUCUCUUCUUCUUCUUCUUCUUAUUUUUCUCUGAAGCAGCUGGACGGAUCCCGGGUUUAUAAAACAAGUGGUGCCGCCUAUGGGAAAGGCACCUUUGGUGCCGCCCAUGGGAUACCCUCCUCCAUGGUAUUGUCACAUCGUUGUAGGCUUUUUUAUUUCUAUUUUUUAUUUUUUUGUAUUAUUUUCGUAAAUAAAAAAAGU